UCACGAAUGUGUGUUGAGCAUUUCCUUGGAGGAAGUAGAGUAUAGUGGUAGGACCUCAGAGGUUUGAGUCUAGUCCUGAUGUGGCCACUUCUCAUGUGAAAUUCAGCAAGUUGCAGUCUUUCCCUCAGUACAUCUUUCUUCAUCUGUAAAUUAAAAGUGGGGUUUGUUCCCUCUAUUUAACAAACUUCUGAUUACUCCUGGGUAAUUUGUCUUAUUUUAAAAAUUUUUACUGGAGCAUAUCAAAUAUAUAGUAAAGACACAUAUUCUGAGUGUAGCACUUGGUUAAUAUUUUGUAAGUGAACAUAUCUAUGUGACCACCACCAAGAUGAUAAUAUAGAACAUUUCCAGCAUCCCACAAACCAUUCUGUGUCCCCCGGUCAUUAUCCUCGCAAAGGUUACUACUCAUCUGUCAUCAGAGAUUGGUUUUGCUUGUUUCUGAGAUUUAUAAAAAUAAAAUCUUAUAAACUGUA
rnacentral:lncRNA from 10 species